AUUUACUUGCUGUGAAGAUUAAAUUAAAUCUCUCCCCUGAUUAUGAAGAUUAAAUUAACUCUGGUGCCCAUUUUUAGAUUUAAUCACCAAAAGUGUAAACAUCCCACUUAAUCAUUAAGUGGGAGGUCUUUGACCCACAUAUGUGACAAUGGGUGAUGAAUCAAAAUCAAACUGACUACCCCCCUAGGCAGUCCUAAGAAAAGCUUCAACUGUAAUUGGUAGAAGUGAAAGUGGAGGAAGGCACAGGAAGUGAUGCAAAAAAAGUGUCUUUAAAGGGGAGUUACAACUUCCUGUGGAGGAGAUUCCUGAGAGAAUGAUCUGAGAUCUUCAGAGAGAACUUCUGACUUCUAGACUUCUAGACUUCUGUGUUCGAGUUGGAUGUUGGUGAAGAAUCUGCUGACUGGACCUGAGACCCUUUGUGUGGUGAGACUUUCCUUGAAUCUCUCCCCUUUGGACUGACACAUGAACAGAACCUAAGAAAGGAGUGUUUGCUAUGGAGAGGAACCAAAGCCCAGAAUUCUGCCACUUCUCCUUUUGCUUGCAGACAUCCAAGGCCAGCACAGCCUUCAGAUCACAAUAUGAAAAGGAACCUACUUUAGCACUGUUGAUGGGCAGAGCCAGGGGAAGACAAAGACACAUUCAAGGAGCUGCCCUCAUCUAGAUCUUCUAUAGCCAAACCUCCUUCCUCUUCUCAUACUCCUGUAGGACACCUUAUCCCAAGUGACCCUUCCCUCCUCCGGCUUGGAGUUGGGCUCAAAUGCAUAUAGCAGGAAGUCAGACUAGGACUUUAGAGCACUAAAUUGUUUCCCCAUGACAGCCUUCUCUUCUGUUUUGUUUUCUUUUUUUAAUGCAAAGCUGCAUAUGAAUAGACUGAACCAAAAAUUAUGGAAGCCAACAAAAGUGGUUGUCACAGAGCAGACACUCAAGAAUGCUAUGAAUGAAUGAGUAGAUAAAGAAGGAAACUCCAGGUCUGUGGAGAAGUGUUAGGAAAUUCAUUCAGAGGUCAACACUCUCUUGAAAAGGGUUAAGGGGAGAGCAUCAACAAAGGAUACAUUGCAGCCGUCAUGGACGUGGAAUUUAUAGAUUGUCACAGAACCUGCUCCCCAUCUCCCAUCUGGUAGGGCAAAGUCUUCAGUGUCUCACUGAUGGGGAAAUCCUAACCAGAGUGACUCAGAGGGCUCUUGUCUUCCUAGGCCUCCGAUGACAGACAGAAAGAGGGUUGCUGAAACAGUAAGAGUUGCAUUGGCAGACUUCCCUCACUGCAGUCAGAGUAGCUAAAGAUAGGCAAUGACCUUCUAGCAACAGCUUUGCUUCCAGGGACAGAGGCAGCCCUCCAGGAAGAAGACCAUGAUCCAGAGGCCAAAAAAGAAAGGAACAUGUUCUCCUCUUUUGACAAAAACCUAGCUCCUUGGGUUCUUUCAGCUAGCCCUGGAUGAGAAUAAAAAAUUUCCAUCUGGGGACA
rnacentral:lncRNA from 1 species